rnacentral:rRNA from 1 species
AACGAACGCUGGCUGCAUGCCUAACACAUGCAAGUCGAACGAGACCUGCGUCUAUAGUGGCGUUCUGGUGCGUGACGCCCGGGAACCUGCCGUGUAAUUCGUAAUCACUCCGCGCAAGGCGUGCUAAUAACGUUUAGUGUCUUCGGCCCAAAGACUAAUCGCCUUUGGAUGGGCACGCGAUGGAUUAGCUAGUUGGUAGGGUAAAAGCCUACGAAGCGGACGAUCCAUAGCUGGUCUGAGAGGAUGAUCAGCCACACUGGGACUGAGACACGUAGCAGACUCCUACGGGAGGCAGCAGUGGGGAAUAUUAGACAAUGGGCGAGAGUCUAAUCCAGCAAUGCCGUGUGAGGGAAGCAGGCCUUAGGGUUGUAAAGAUCUGUUACCCGGGAUGAUAAUGACAGUACCGGGAGAAUAAGCUCCGGCUAACUCCGUG